AUAAAACUUGUCAAGGGAUUUGAUGGGGGGCGGUCCCUUUUGACGUUUGCUGCUGGGUGGGUUCCCUGUGUCGUAUGCUACACCAUCAGAGCCACAUCUGGGGCUGAUUCACAGUGAGCUGGCCCGGAUGUGAACCCACCAAGCUGAGAGGAGUUUGGGAGUGGGACGGUGGGGGACACAGGGACCUAAGCAAAGCUGAUGACUGUCUUCAGGUACUGUAUCCUGUGAAAGUAAACAUCAAUCGUGGAAACAUUGAACGUUUUCUCCAGUGUGAGGCAAAUUUCCAGCCUCUGGCCAUCAGGCUGUGUGUCUGUGCUGUUCAUCAGGCAUUCUCCUGCCAUCCCCCACUGAGAAAGAGAGAGAGAAGCUGAGUGUACUGUUGGGCCCUCCUGUACUGGCCCCCAGGGCCUAACAUGAAGCAGAUGUGGAACGGGAGAUCCCCUACAACAAGGUCUGAACAGUCAGCUGGAGGUGCUCAGUUCACUAGGGCCACAUCCGGUUGAUGCACUCAGACCUUCAUUUGGAAGCUACACACACCCAGAGAGCUGCUGAUGCCUAACACCGCUUCCUAACAUACAGUGAGCGAGAGAACUCUUGUGGAUGGAGCGCGAAAAAUUGUCCACAUAUACUACGAGCAAUGUCGCCCAUGUUGACUACUGACUGAAGGGGAAACGGAAACGUCAAGGACGUCAGCGUCGAUUUUGACCAACGAAAAUAGGUUGGAGGUGGAGCAAGUGCACGAAACUUUGCAAAAAUAGAACCAGGGCUGUCGGUUUUUCAAACAAGCAACAUGCCGCUUGGCAUGUUCGCUGACGCACAAAGCACGUUAAGACAUCAUCAUUACGAAACACUGAAACAAUCUGAUGUUCACUCGUUCGCAUCAGUGUAAUGGUAUGUUCAGACCAAAAGUGAAGUGAAUUUUUCACGCAACGUGAUUACAUACAAAGUCAAUGCAAAGAUGCAAAUAGAUGUGUUAAUUGUAAAAACUUUUUUUACAAUCAACACUUGAAAUGAUGAAAGCACUUGCAAAUGACAAGGUAAUACAAAAUGUAAACCAUACUUUGGUGCUUUACUUUAAACGCUUCUUUUUUUCUCUUACUCAAAUAAACCAAAACACUGACAAAGAGGAAGA